CAGAAGCCCUUCUGUUGUUGUAAUGUGCAUCUUCUCACUAUAUAAAAAUCCCCCUGAAGCUCAGACGCACAACAUUAGAUCUCAGAGUUGUGAUGGAUGUUUCUUCUCUUCAGCUCAACACAAGAUAGAUUAUGAGUAUAGAAAUGAAAUAACAGAGAGAGGAAACUGCUGGAGCAUCAGAACCAGAUGAGAAAAAACAACAGGACAGAGAGAGAAAUGGAGGCCAGAAAUGAGACACAAACCAGUGAAACACAAGAGAAAAACAGACGGACGCUUGUUAGAUGUAACAGUAUGGAGGGAAUAAAACCACACUUCUCUCGUGAUCCAGACGGACCUGUAAACUUUAAUUCUGGAGAAACUUCAGCAUGUUCUGAAGAACACACAACAUCCCUGAGACAGCAGCAGCUGAAGACAACACCAUCAUGAUCACAGACUCCAUCCAUCCACACUACAGUCUGCUCAGAUCUCCUCUUUCAUCUGUUCAUCCUCAUUAUUCAUCUCUGCCUCAUUUGGUUCUUCAAACAAGUUAACGGAUUUGAUUCAGAUAUCUGGAUGAAGUUGUCUGAGAUUACUGUGAACUCACAGCUCAGACGAAUUUUACAUAAUGUGUGUUUGACUGCAAUUAAAUCAUGAGAUAAUUAUUCCGUCACUAAUAAACCUUUCAAGGAGUAAAAUUGGUUGCAUCUAUUAUUAUAGAUUAUACAACAUUUUAAUUAUUUUCAAAAUCAUUUUUAAAUUAUUAUCUUUCAAAAUUAUUUUUCUGGUUGAAUAAGAAGAGUUCAGAUGCAAAAGCCUCUAA